rnacentral:rRNA from 1 species
UUUAGUUACCAUCAUUCAAGUUGGGACUCUAGAGAGACUGCCGGUGAUAAACCGGAGGAAGGUGGGGAUGACGUCAAAUCAUCAUGCCCCUUAUGGCCUGGGCUACAAACGUAAUACAAUGGCGUAUACAAAGGGAUGCGAAAGGGCGACCUGGAGCAAAACUCACAAAGUACGUCUCAGUUCAGAUUGGAGUCUGCAACUCGACUCCAUGAAGGCGGAAUCGCUAGUAAUCGCGGAUCAGCAUGCCGCGGUGAAUACGUUCUCGGGUUU